rnacentral:rRNA from 1 species
GGCGGUUUGUUAAGUCGGAUGUGAAAGCCCUGGGCUCAACCUAGGAAUUGCAUUCGAUACUGGCAGACUAGAGUACGGCAGAGGGUGGCGGAAUUUCGGGUGUAGCGGUGAAAUGCGUAGAUAUCCGAAGGAACACCGAUGGCGAAGGCAACCACCUGGGCCUGUACUGACGCUGAGACACGAAAGCGUGGGGAGCAAACAGGA